GACGAACGCUGGCGGCGUGCUUAACACAUGCAAGUCGAACGGAAAGGCCCCUUUGGGGGUACUCGAGUGGCGAACGGGUGAGUAACACGUGAGUAACCUGCCCUUGCCUUCGGGAUAACUUCAGGAAACUGAGGCUAAUACCGGAUAGGAAUCCUUGCUGCAUGGUGGGGGUUGGAAAGCUUCGGCGGUUUUGGAUGGACUCGCGGCUUAUCAGCUUGUUGGUGGGGUAGUGGCUUACCAAGGCUUUGACGGGUAGCCGGCCUGGGGGGGCGACCGGCCGCAUUGGGACUGGGAUACGGCCCAGACUCCUACGGGAGGCAGCAGUGGGGAAUAUUGCACAAUGGGCGGAAGCCUGAUGCAGCAACGCCGCGUGCGGGAUGACGGCCUUCGGGUUGUAAACCGCUUUCAGCAGGGGCGAAGCUUGUGGUGACGGUACCUGCAGAAGAAGCACCGGCUAACUACGUG
rnacentral:rRNA from 1 species